AGGAUCAAUGGGAACAUGCAGAGAUUAUUGCUGGAGCCCAAUCCCUUCCCCCCAGUGUCUCCACACACAGAGAGCAGGAAUCCCUAAUUCCAGGAUCAAUGGGAACAUGCAGAGAUUAUUGCUGGAGCCCAAUCCCUUCCCCCCAGUGUCUGCACACACAGAGAGCAGGAAUCCCUAAUUCCAGGAUCAAUGGGAACAUGCAGAGAUUAUUGCUGGAGCCCAAUCCCUUCCCCCCUAGUGUCUGCACACACAGAGAGCAGGAAUCCCUAAUUCCAGGAUCAAUGGGAACAUACAGAGAUUAUUGCUGGAGCCCAAUCCCUUCCCCCCAGUGUCUCCACACACAGAGAGCAGGAAUCCCAAAUUCCAGGAUCAAUGGGAACAUGUAGAGAU